GGCCCCCCCCCCCCCCCCCAAAACCCAGAGCUGCUCUCCAGGGGCCUCACAAAGAGCCCCAUACACACCGGCCGGGCCGAGGGAACAAGGGGUCCCUUGAAGCCCUGCGGCGAGGGGAAAGUGUGCGCCGCCGCCCGGACACUCACGGAGACGUUCUGCUCGCCGCACACACACACAUGUUGAUCGCUGGCGAGCAGAGAGCGCGUUGUUCUGUGUGUGUGUGUGUGUGUCACGGCUCUGAAGACGCUGCCAACGGCGUCGCCGUGGAAACCAUCCGUCAGAAAUGUGAUUUCCCUCGGGGACAAUGCAGCGACUGUUGAAACUCUAAAAGUCUGUUGGUGAAGAGGGUCCCGAACAUGGCCGACAACCUGAUGGACUAUGUCGGAUUCGAAAUCCCGAACCACUUCGUGGUGGGUUACGCCUUGGACUACAACAAAUACUUCCGCGACCUGAGCGAGAAGUCCCGCCUCCUUCUUCUCCUGAGAAGUGCGUCCGGCCUUUCCCGCCGCUGCCUCUCCUCCUCGGACUGUUUACACCCGUCUCACACCUCCGCCGAGCUUUGAGCCGGGAGCGCAACCUCUCCUCUAUUUUCUUUUUGCCGCACCCCCGAUGACACGCUAUUUCAUGCCAGAUUUCUCAGCCCGAAAUUACACAUCUGCGUCAUCAGCGAGACCGGGAAGAGGAAGUACAAGGUUUGAGGAGCAACACAGAGAAGCUUUCUUUUUGUUUUCUGCAUUUUCUGUCACUUUGUUUCAGAAAAUGUAAAGCAGGGUUCAUACGGUAAAAAAAAAUGGAAUUUUAAAAUGUUUUUUUUUCAGGCUUGAAAAAGUCAUUGAAAUAAAUAUAAUAGCAAAAGUUUUGAAAAAGUCAUGGAAAUGUUGUUAUAUUUAUAUGUUUAUUAACCCGGUAUGUACUGCUUUGUAAUUGUCAUUGUUAGUUUAAAUACUACAUUUUCUCACUAUUUCAUUAUCUGUUGUUUUUAUUAAUUUUAUUGUAAUUUUUGCUAUUUUUAUAUAUACUACACUUUCUCCCUAUUUUCAUGAACCAGAAACAAUCAAGAUAAACGUAGAAUAUUACAAGUAGCUCAUAGAAAAACCUUAAGAAUUGUCCCCUUUUUUAUUUUAUUACAUAUCAUUUACAGGGUUCGUAAAGUCAUGGAAAACCUGGAAAAAUCAUGGAAUAUAAAAAUGGUUAUUUCCAGGCCUGGAAAAGUCCUUGAAAAAAUGAAAUCCCAAAAGUCAUGAACAUUUGUUAUAUUCAUAUGUUCAUUUAUGCAGUUUGAUUUAAAAGAAUAAACAUUUAUAUAAAUAUUUAUUCUUUUUAAUCAAACUUGUCAUUCAUUUGUCCUUAUUUUUACACCGAGAUUUCACAACAUUUUUGGUCAUCGAAAUUUGGUUUUAAAGUCAUGGAAAUUCUUUGGUCAAAAUGUGUAUGAACUCUGUAAUGUAUGUAAAUAAAAUGCUUUUAAAUUGAAAGAACAUCCUUCUUCCCAAAGCGGGCAAUCAUAACGGUUGAGACGGCCUUUUUAAAUAGCGUUUUUUCUAAAUAAACAACAACAACAACAAAAGUGA